UACAGAGGUCCCAAGCGUUGUUCGGAUUCAUUGGGCGUAAAGGGUGCGUAGGCGGCGCGGUAAGUCGGGUGUGAAAUCUCGGGGCUUAACUCCGAGACUGCAUUCGAUACUGCCGUGCUUGAGGACUGGAGAGGAGACUGGAAUUUACGGUGUAGCGGUGAAAUGCGUAGAUAUCGUAAGGAAGACCAGUGGCGAAGGCGGGGCUCUGGACAGUUCCUGACGCUGAGGCACGAAGGCCAGGGGAGCAAACGGG
rnacentral:rRNA from 1 species